CACCUGCUUUACCGACGGACCAAACUGGAACUCCCCAGCCUCUUUCAGAUCCAGCCAGAUCAUCGGCAUCCGCGGGACCGCUUCCAUCGCGGCCGACACCUUACAGCACCGUCAGCGGGUUUAACGUAGUAUUCCCGUGUCACUAGUGGACUGGUGGAGUUGUGAGGUACCCAGUGGAGCCAGUAUGAAGUGGACAGGAAGUUUUAUAACCACAGGAUAUGUACACCAGCUGUUGUUUGUUAGUAAUAUUUUUGGUAGUCCAUAUUACUUUUGUAUUAUUAUGAACGCUCAUGUUCUUCCAUUAUAGGCCCCGAGCCCGAGUGUAGCGUGUCACAUCACCUUUUCCUUUUACUGGGUAACUUUUUACCACAUGAUCAUGAAACCUAAAAAUAUGACUGGAUUUUUUUUCAGCCUGUGAAUUGUAUUGCUAACCAAUCAUCCGUAUGCGCUUUGAAAUGCCACAGAAUAAAUUAAAAACCAUCAAAUGCUUUGGUCUGACAUGCAAAGAACUUGUUAAUAAAAACAGUAGUUAAUGCAAUGAUUUGAUUUGAGAAGUAGCUACAGAUAUUUUUUCUUUUUAGCCUAGGAUAUGGCCUUUCACCUACUGGAACUUCUUUCUUUGUUGGUCCUUUCAAAAUGUCCUCAUAGAACCAUAGAGCUGCUCAAAAUAACUCUUAUCCCCACCGGUAACUGCCAAAAAUAUGAGAAGCAUUAUCUAAGUGUUUUUAGUGAUUUUAUGUCAAAGUCUUUGUUAUAUAAAUAUGUUUGUCGUGCUUAAUUUAGAAAUGUAGAAAGCUAUAAAAUGAAUCAUAUUUAAAUUGUACUUUUACUGUUUAUUACAAAUGUGUCCUUGAAUGUUACGGUUUCUUCUAAUUAGUGGAAAGAUUGUUGAAAUGGGAAUGUAAAGACCUCAGUUAUGAGCUCUCCAUUUUGGCUGAAUCAAUCGUUUUUCAAGGAGUCUGUCUGAUGUCUAAAAAAGUUGUCUUACAAAAAAGAAUUGAACCCAUUUUUCAUUGCCUGUUGAAUUUGAUGCACCUUCAAGCACAAAAUUAUUCAUACCCAUAAAUAAUUCUUCAACCAAAAA